UACGGGGGGAGCAAGCGUUGUUCGGAUUUACUGGGCGUAAAGGGCGCGUAGGCGGCCUCCGCAAGUCAGUUGUGAAAUCUCCGAGCUUAACUCGGAAAGGUCAACUGAUACUGCGGGGCUAGAGUGCGGAAGGGGCAACUGGAAUUCUCGGUGUAGCGGUGAAAUGCGUAGAUAUCGAGAGGAACACCUGCGGCGAAGGCGGGUUGCUGGGCUGACACUGACGCUGACAGCGCGAAAGCUAGGGGAGCGAACGGG
rnacentral:rRNA from 1 species